rnacentral:rRNA from 1 species
AGUGAACGCUGGCGGUAGGCCUAACACAUGCAAGUCGAACGGCAGCACAGUAAGAGCUUGCUCUUACGGGUGGCGAGUGGCGGACGGGUGAGGAAUACAUCGGAAUCUACUUUUUCGUGGGGGAUAACGUAGGGAAACUUACGCUAAUACCGCAUACGACCUACGGGUGAAAGCAGGGGAUCUUCGGACCUUGCACGAUUGAAUGAGCCGAUGUCGGAUUAGCUAGUUGGCGGGGUAAAGGCCCACCAAGGCGACGAUCCGUAGCUGGUCUGAGAGGAUGAUCAGCCACACUGGAACUGAGACACGGUCCAGACUCCUACGGGAGGCAGCAGUAGGGAAUAUUGGACAAUGGGCGCAAGCCUGAUCCAGCCAUACCGCGUGGGUGAAGAAGGCCUUCGGGUUGUAAAGCCCUUUUGUUGGGAAAGAAAAGCAGCAGGUUAAUACCCCGCUGUUCUGACGGUACCCAAAGAAUAAGCACCGGCUAACUUCGUG